rnacentral:rRNA from 1 species
UACAGAGGGGGCAAGCGUUGUUCGGAAUUACUGGGCGUAAAGGGCGCGUAGGCGGCCUUCUAAGUCGAACGUGAAAUCCCCGGGCUCAACCCGGGAACUGCGUCCGAUACUGGAAGGCUUGAAUCCGGGAGAGGGAUGUGGAAUUCCAGGUGUAGCGGUGAAAUGCGUAGAUAUCUGGAGGAACACCGGUGGCGAAGGCGAACAUCCUGGACCGGUAUUGACGCGUG